AACGCUGGCGGCGUGCUUAAUACAUGCAAGUCAACUUGACUUUAGAUAGCAAUAUCGAAAAGUAGGGUGGCGCACGGGUGCGUAACGCGUAGGUAAUCUGCCCUGAGGUCUGACAUAACCCGUCGAAAGGCGGGCUAACAUCAGAUGAUAUAUAAUCACGACAUCGUGGAAAUAUCAAAUCUUCGGAGCCUUGGGAUGAGCCUGCGUCUGAUUAGGUAGUUGGCGGAGUAAUAGCCCACCAAGCCUACGAUCAGUAGCUGGUCUGAGAGGAUGAUCAGCCACACUGGAACUGAGACACGGUCCAGACUCCUACGGGAGGCAGCAGUAAGGAAUAUUGCUCAAUGGGGGAAACCCUGAAGCAGCAACGCCGCGUGAAGGAUGAAAUACUUUUGUAUGUAAACUUCUGUAAGAUGGGAAAAAUAUUCUCCUCGGGAGAAUUGAUUGUACCAUCAGAGUAAGCCCCGGCUAACUACGUG
rnacentral:rRNA from 1 species